AACGAACGCUGGCGGCAUGCCUAACACAUGCAAGUCGAACGAGGCCUUCGGGUCUAGUGGCGCACGGGUGCGUAACGCGUGGGAACCUGCCCUUAGGUUCGGAAUAACUCCCCGAAAGGGGUGCUAAUACCGGAUAAUGUCUUCGGACCAAAGAUUUAUCGCCUUUGGAUGGGCCCGCGUUGGAUUAGCUAGUUGGUAGGGUAAAAGCCUACCAAGGCGACGAUCCAUAGCUGGUCUGAGAGGAUGAUCAGCCACACUGGGACUGAGACACGGCCCAGACUCCAAGGGAGGGAAGAAGGGGGAAUAUUGGACAAUGGGCGAAAGCCUGAUCCAGCAAUGCCGCGUGAGUGAUGAAGGCCUUAGGGUUGUAAAGCUCUUUUACCCGGGAUGAUAAUGACAGUACCGGGAGAAUAAGCUCCGGCUAACUCCGUG
rnacentral:rRNA from 1 species